rnacentral:rRNA from 1 species
UACGUAGGGGACGAGCGUUGUCCGGAUUCAUUGGGCGUAAAGCGCGCGUAGGCGGCUCGGAAAGUCGGUCGUGAAAUGCCGGGGCUCAACCCCGGGACUGCGUCCGAUACUUCCGGGCUGGAGGUAGGUAGGGGAGAUCGGAAUUCCUGGUGUAGCGGUGAAAUGCGCAGAUAUCAGGAAGAACACCAAUGGCGAAAGCAGCUCUCUGGGACGGUACUGACGCUGAGACGCGAAAGCGUGGGGAGCGAACAGG